CCUACGGGAGGCAGCAGUGGGGAAUAUUGCACAAUGGGGGAAACCCUGAUGCAGCGACGCCGCGUGAGCGAAGAAGUACCUCGGUAUGUAAAGCUCUAUCAGCAGGGAAGAAGAUGACGGUACCUGACCAAGAAGCUCCGGCUAAAUACGUGCCAGCAGCCGCGGUAAUACGUAUGGAGCAAGCGUUAUCCGGAUUUACUGGGUGUAAAGGGAGCGCAGGCGGCCUUGCAAGUCUGAUGUGAAAGGCCGGGGCCCAACCCCGGGACUGCAUUGGAAACUGCGAGGCUGGAGUGUCGGAGAGGCAG
rnacentral:rRNA from 1 species